CAAAUUCCUUCAUUUUCGGCUUAACUUGUAAAAAGCACAUCCACCACAAGGGUAUGAACCAAUGGUGGGAGAUCUCAACCAGUGUAGUUACAGGAAUAUCAGUAUAUCGGGACUCAUAUUCGUGAUGGAGUUCUGGCGAGUAUCACCAAAGAGGACGUACCAUCGAUCAGGAAUGUUGAUUGAUAGGUUUCAGGAUGAAUUGGAGAUUUGAUUUUAACAAGGAAGGAGAGGUGGAUCAAUGAUUGGACAAUUUAAUAGAUCCUAUGAUAUGUGGAAUCAUAUGUCAAUAGCCUCAAUGACAGGUCUCAGGAAGUCUACUGGCCAAAGCAUACAUACUGCUUCCUUUUGGUUGGUGAGCUCCCACUGCGUUCCACUGCUUUGACUUUCUGAAGAUCUCUUCUAUAACAGUCUUUCAGAGAGCGCCAUCUAGUCUCUACAUCGGUCACUAAUGAAUGGGUGUAAUGUAUUUUUCGUAGAACAGUCAGCAUAACUGCUAUUCCUGAUGUCCCAUAUAGCCAGCUUUGCUUGCACAGGUAAAAUAGAGUCUCUGUAUUCAUUUCUGCAUGGGUGGAGGUAAUUUAUGUGACCUAUUGAUAAACAAUUAUGUCCAUUUAAAACAAUGUCAAUACGUGGCAAAAGGAGAACAUUGUGGAAUAAGAACAUUUAAAAAUAAAAUAACCAUAAUUCAAUUAAAUAUAACACACUUUGUAAAGGACUUCUUUCAUUAUAAAAGAAAAAUAGGUGUGGCUUACUGGAAAUGACAGUGCCUAAGACUGUUAGAUUUACAGUAACAAUACUAAA